rnacentral:lncRNA from 11 species
GUGGGAUUUUCUGCCAUGAUAUUCUGGGUUAUAUGAUUGUGUGGAAAGGCUCUGGGAUGAACUGCCAUUCUCCAGUCAAUGGUUGCAUCUUCUCAGGAACAAACCGUUGAUAGUCCCCUUUGGGGAGAUAAAGCGUGGUAUAAAUCAAUAUAACAACAACAACAAUUCUAAAGACACCGGUCUUCCGUUACAAUGUUAGCAUAUCUGCCAAAAUCUCACAAAUAAAU